rnacentral:lncRNA from 1 species
UUUUGUUUUCUUUGUCCGCUUUGUUUUAGCGUUGCUGGAUGUCCAUUCCAACCCGCACCCCGCCGCGGGCGCGCGUGGGACAGCGCUCGAGGACGCGGAGGGACGCUCCCUCUCCCGGAGAGGCCGAGCGCGACCCGUGCGGGCGGCGGGGCACGGCCCCCCAGCAUCGCCCACGCGGGGGGCGGCGGGGACCCUCCCGGGCGCAGCGGCCGCCGGCGCCCCUCUCCUCCUUCCCUCCCUCCUGCUCUCAUCUGCCACAUAAGCUUUUUGCUGUGGAUGAUGCUGGUCUCCCUGGAAAGAGCRCGGAGGGGUUGUCGCCGGAUGCAGAGGAGAUGGAGAGAGCGUGGCAGCGGAGCGAGUGGAAGGAGUGGCGGCUGGAAGUGCACGAGCAGCUGCUGGCCCUGCGCCACUGGCUGGAUGCCGUGGAGAAGAGGCUGCCCGCCCUGCCGGAGCAAGGCCCGGCCCC